GGCCUUAUAGUGUAGUGGUUAUCACGGCGGAUUCUGAUGUAUUAGCAGCAUUGUUCCGUAGACGUAGGUUCGACUCCUGCUUAGGCCU
rfam:Fomitopsis pinicola FP-58527 SS1 unplaced genomic scaffold FOMPIscaffold_6, whole genome shotgun sequence.